UACGUAGGGUGCAAGCGUUAAUCGGAAUUACUGGGCGUAAAGCGUGCGCAGGCGGUUAUGCAAGGCAGAGGUGAAAUCCCCGGGCUCAACCUGGGAACUGCCUUUGUGACUGCAUAGCUAGAGUACGGUAGAGGGGGAUGGAAUUCCGCGUGUAGCAGUGAAAUGCGUAGAUAUGCGGAGGAACACCGAUGGCGAAGGCAAUCCCCUGGACCUGUACUGACGCUCAUGCACGAAAGCGUGGGGAGCAAACAGG
rnacentral:rRNA from 1 species